rnacentral:misc_RNA from 1 species
UCCGGUUUGGCACCGGCAGUCUCCCUAGAGUUCCCGGCAUCAUCCGCUGGCAACUAAGGACAGGGGUUGCGCUCGUUGCGCCACUUAAGGCAACACCUCACGGCACGAGCUGACGACAGCCAUGCAGCACCUGUGCUAGCUCCCCGAAGGGUCCUUCACGUUUCUGAUCCGUACCACUAGCAUGUCAAGCCCAGGUAAGGUUCUUCGCGUUGCAUCGAAUUAAACCACAUGCUCCACCGCUUGUGCGGGCCCCCGUCAAUUCUUUUGAGUUUCACCCUUGCGAGCGUACUCCCCAGGCGGCAUACUUAAUGCGUUAGCUCCGGUACAGAGGGGGUUGAGCCCUCCUACACCUAGUAUGCAUCGUUUAAGGCAUGGACUAC